rnacentral:tRNA from 1 species
GCCAAGUUAGUUCAAAGGUAGAACAGUGGGCUGAUAACCUACAAACGGGGGAUCGUUACCCUCACUUGGUACCA